rnacentral:tRNA from 1 species
GCCGAUGUAGCUCAGCUGGCCAGAGCAAUGCUUUCGUAAAGCAGAGGUCGGCGGUUCAAAUCCGCCCAUCGGCUCCA